rnacentral:rRNA from 1 species
AACGAACGCUGGCGGCAGGCUUAACACAUGCAAGUCGAACGCCCCGCAAGGGGAGUGGCAGACGGGAGAGUAACGCGUGGGAAUCUACCCAGUUCUACGGAAUAACCCAGGGAAACUUGGAAUAAUACCGUAUACGACCUACGGGGGAAAGAUUUAUCGGAAUUGGAUGAGCCCGCGUUGGAUUAGCUAGUUGGUGGGGUAAUGGCCUACCAAGGCGACGAUCCAUAGCUGGUCUGAGAGGAUGAUCAGCCACACUGGGACUGAGACACGGCCCAGACUCCUACGGGAGGCAGCAGUGGGGAAUAUUGGACAAUGGGCGAAAGCCUGAUCCAGCCAUGCCGCGUGAGUGAUGAAGGCCUUAGGGUUGUAAAGCUCUUUCAGUGGGGAAGAUAAUGACGGUACCCACAGAAGAAGCCCCGGCUAACUUCGUGCCAGCCGCCGCCGUAAGAC